CAACAUGGCAGCCCCCAGAUUAAGCAGUCCCCAGGAUCUCUUUAAUGGUUCCAGAGAUUUCUCUGGCUGAAAACUGCUGCCACAUCUGUGGAGCAAUGUUGACAGUCACUUUUGAUAAGUGCUAUUUCCACGGUGCUUAAUGUUUUUCUGUUUCUUUCUGUCUCUUGGCGGUUCCUUGAGGGCUUUGAUACUCAGGGCAGAGGCAGAGGGUACCAAUUCAGUUGGGCCUGUCUGUUCGGUGUGGUCAGGGUCACUGUCACCCUCAGACCCCUCCAAUCAUGAGUUGCCUCAGCAAUGUCAUCACCAAACUUUUUUGGAGACAGACCCAGAGGGCCAAUUUUUGGAGCCAGGGCAGACACGGCACUGACUUCCCCACUGGAACACCUCAGGCUGGAACAUAAAAGCAGAAGCUGCGAUAGAGGGUUAUUUAAGUGUGUUAAUAAGGAUUGAAGCUGUGAAAAUGAAUGACAUCCUGAGAAAGCAUUUCUAUUAAGAAGAAAAGAGCCAAUAAAUUUCAAGCAUCAUUAGCAGCAAAUGUGUACUCAAAACCAACAAAUGAUAUGCCAACUUCUCAGAGAAGACUUCAAGAUAUUAAAUGAGUGGAAACCUUGUUAUUUCUGCAAGCAUAGAGGGAUCAUAGAAGCAAAAGUACUCAACAUUUUAUAAGGCAAUAAA